UCUGAAUGAUGAUCAUUUUGUCACCUGACACACAAUGGAGGUAAAAACUGAUUUAAUGAGUCUGACAG